rnacentral:snoRNA from 1 species
AAGAAUGAGGAAGACGAUGAGGAACUGGAAGUUCCGGUGAUGUGAAAAACUCAGGUGAAGAAGACGAGUUGAAAAAAUUUGACGUUUUGUAUUUCCUUUGAUGAUGAUGACAU